rnacentral:rRNA from 1 species
AGACCGGGAUAACAGUGGGAAACUGCUGCUAAUACCGGGUACGCUUCAGUAUUUCACGUAUGGGGGAAAGCGGCCUCUGCUUGCAAGCUGCCACUCUUGGAUGGGCCCGCGUCUCAUUAGGCUUGUUGGUAGGGUAACGGCCUACCAAGGCGACGAUGAGUAGCUGGUCUGAGAGGAUGAUCAGCCACACUGGGACUGGAACACGGCCCAGACUCCUACGGGAGGCAGCAGUGGGGAAUAUUGCGCAAUGGGCGAAAGCCUGACGCAGCGACGCCGCGUGAGGGAAGAAGGCCUUCGGGUCGUAAACCUCUGUCAGGAGGGAAGAAACCAUGGGAGUCGAACAGGCUCUCGUGCUGACGGUACCUCCGGAGGAAGCACCGGCUAACUCCGUGCCAGCCGCCGC